GUAACAGGUUAAGCUGACGAGUGGCGAACGGGUGAGUAAUGUAUCGGAACGUGCCCAGUCGUGGGGGAUAACUGCUCGAAAGAGCAGCUAAUACCGCAUACGACCUGAGGGUGAAAGCGGGGGAUCGCAAGACCUCGCGCGAUUGGAGCGGCCGAUAUCAGAUUAGGUAGUUGGUGAGGUAAAGGCUCACCAAGCCGACGAUCUGUAGCUGGUCUGAGAGGACGACCAGCCACACUGGGACUGAGACACGGCCCAGACUCCUACGGGAGGCAGCAGUGGGGAAUUUUGGACAAUGGGCGCAAGCCUGAUCCAGCCAUGCCGCGUGCGGGAAGAAGGCCUUCGGGUUGUAAACCGCUUUUGUCAGGGAAGAAAAGGUUCUGGCUAAUACCUGGGACUCAUGACGGUACCUGAAGAAUAAGCACCGGCUAACUACGUGCCAGCAGCCGCGGUAAUACGUAGGGUGCAAGCGUUAAUCGGAAUUACUGGGCGUAAAGCGUGCGCAGGCGGUCCGCUAAGAUAGAUGUGAAAUCCCCGGGCUUAACCUGGGAACUGCAUUUGUGACUGGCGGGCUAGAGUAUGGCAGAGGGGGGUAGAAUUCCACGUGUAGCAGU
rnacentral:rRNA from 1 species